GACGAACGCUGGCGGCGUGCUUAACACAUGCAAGUCGAACGGAAAGGCCCUGCUUUUGUGGGGUGCUCGAGUGGCGAACGGGUGAGUAACACGUGAGUAACCUGCCCUUGACUUUGGGAUAACUUCAGGAAACUGGGGCUAAUACCGGAUAGGAGCUCCUGCUGCAUGGUGGGGGUUGGAAAGUUUCGGCGGUUGGGGAUGGACUCGCGGCUUAUCAGCUUGUUGGUGGGGUAGUGGCUUACCAAGGCUUUGACGGGUAGCCGGCCUGAGAGGGUGACCGGCCACAUUGGGACUGAGAUACGGGCCAGAAUCCUACGGGAUGCAGCAGUGGGGAAUAUUGCACAAUGGGCGGAAGCCUGAUGCAGCAACGCCGCGUGCGGGAUGACGGCCUUCGGGUUGUAAACCGCUUUCGCCUGUGACGAAGCGUGAGUGACGGUAAUGGGUAAAGAAGCACCGGCUAACUACGUG
rnacentral:rRNA from 1 species